rnacentral:piRNA from 1 species
UGGACCCUUAGCUUCUGAGUGAUAUCAUUG